GCAGUUAACCAGAGUGGACUCUGCUAUUUGUUAUUAGGAACACUGACUUCUGCCACCCCUUGUAAAGCGUGAAGGGAGCUGGCGGACCAAAUUCGGGAAGGAAGCCUCGAGAGGUGGAUGAAACACACUUGGGAGGAGUAAUCGAGUUACUGCACCAUUUCCGAGACGCCUGUACCAGAAUGCUGUUCAAGGAAAUCAAUAAACCUCUUGUGAUCAAGCCACACUUGUGCGGUAAUGUGAAGCUGAGUACAACCCUAUCUAAACCAAAUGGUAAAAUGAAACCCUGC
rnacentral:lncRNA from 1 species